UCAAAAUCAAAAUCAAAAUAUACUUCAUUCAAGUAGGCUUUUACAAGCACUUUUGAAUCGUCGUUUAACAAACUAUAUUAACUACCACCGGUUCGGAAAGUAGAAUCUACCGAGAAGAACCGGCAAGAAACUCAAUAGUUACUCUUUUCCACCAUU